rnacentral:lncRNA from 1 species
GGAAAUUAAGUCCUCUGAAGGAUACUUCUGGGAAGCUCUAACAGACAGGUCUUCAUCUCUUGUAGUUCCUGGAUCUGAGUACUCUGCGGACCACAGUGUACUGAUAAAAUCUCCUCGGCUCUUUGAAUUGUGCUCAGAGCUUCAGAAACUGCAAAUCCAUUGAAGAGAAUUUGUGCCAGUUUGAAAAGUUCAUGACCCAUUUCUACACUUGAUGGCCCAUGAUGCAUUUCCACAAG